rnacentral:rRNA from 1 species
UACAGAGGGGGCAAGCGUUGUUCGGAAUUACUGGGCGUAAAGGGCGCGUAGGCGGCCUGCUAAGUCGAACGUGAAAUCCCCGAGCUCAACUCGGGAACUGCGUCCGAUACUGGCAGGCUUGAAUCCGGGAGAGGGAUGCGGAAUUCCAGGUGUAGCGGUGAAAUGCGUAGAUAUCAGGAGGAACACCGGUGGCGAAGGCGGCUACCUGGACAGAAACUGACGCUGAGGCGCGAAAGCUAGGGGAGCAAACAGG